AUUGAACGCUGGCGGCAGGCUUAACACAUGCAAGUCGAACGCCCCGCAAGGGGAGUGGCAGACGGGUGAGUAACGCGUGGGAAUCUACCCAGUUCUACGGAACAACUGAGGGAAACUUCAGCUAAUACCGUAUACGCCCUACGGGGGAAAGAUUUAUCGGAAUUGGAUGAGCCCGCGUUGGAUUAGCUAGUUGGUGAGGUAACGGCUCACCAAGGCGACGAUCCAUAGCUGGUCUGAGAGGAUGAUCAGCCACACUGGGACUGAGACACGGCCCAGACUCCUACGGGAGGCAGCAGUGGGGAAUAUUGGACAAUGGGCGCAAGCCUGAUCCAGCCAUGCCGCGUGAGUGAUGAAGGCCUUAGGGUUGUAAAGCUCUUUCAGUGGGGACGAUAAUGACGGUACCCACAGAAGAAGCCCCGGCUAACUUCGUGCCAGCAGCCGCAGUAAAAC
rnacentral:rRNA from 1 species